rnacentral:rRNA from 1 species
AGAGUUUGAUCCUGGCUCAGGAUGAACGCUAGCUACAGGCUUAACACAUGCAAGUCGAGGGGCAGCAUAUUUGUAGCAAUACAGAUGAUGGCGACCGGCGCACGGGUGAGUAACACGUAUCCAACCUGCCGUUUACACGGGGAUAGCCUUUCGAAAGAAAGAUUAAUACCCGAUGGUAUAGAAUAAUCACAUGUUUUUUCUAUUAAAGAAAUUCGGUAAACGAUGGGGAUGCGUUCCAUUAGGCAGUUGGCGGGGUAACGGCCCACCAAACCAACGAUGGAUAGGGGUUCUGAGAGGAAGGUCCCCCACAUUGGAACUGAGACACGGUCCAAACUCCUACGGGAGGCAGCAGUGAGGAAUAUUGGUCAAUGGAUGAGAAUCUGAACCAGCCAAGUAGCGUGAAGGAUGACUGCCCUAUGGGUUGUAAACUUCUUUUAUAAGGGAAUAAAGUUGGCUAUGUAUAGUCAUUUGUAUGUACCUUAAGAAAAAGCAUCGGCUAACUCCGUGCCAGCAGCCGCGGUAAUACGGAGGAUGCGAGCGUUAUCCGGAUUUAUUGGGUUUAAAGGGAGCGUAGGCGGAUGAUUAAGUCAGUUGUGAAAGUUCAAGGCUCAACCUUGAAAUUGCAGUUGAAACUGGUUAUCUUGAGUGCAGUAAAUGUGUGCGGAAUUCGUGGUGUAGCGGUGAAAUGCUUAGAUAUCACGAAGAACUCCAAUUGCGAAGGCAGCUCACAGGAGUGUAACUGACGCUGAUGCUCGAAAGUGUGGGAAUCAAACAGGAUUAGAUACCCUGGUAGUCCACACCGUAAACGAUGAAUACUCGCUGUUUGCGAUAUACAGUAAGCGGCCAAGCGAAAGCAUUAAGUAUUCCACCUGGGGAGUACGCCGGCAACGGUGAAACUCAAAAGGAAUUGACGGGGGCCCGCACAAGCGGAGGAACAUGUGGUUUAAUUCGAUGAUACGCGAGGAACCUUACCCGGGCUUGAAUUGCAUCUGAAUAAUGGUAAAAGCCAUUAGCCGCAAGGCAGAUGUGAAGGUGCUGCAUGGUUGUCGUCAGCUCGUGCCGUGAGGUGUCGGCUUAAGUGCCAUAACGAGCGCAACCCUAAUUUCCAGUUACUAUCAGGUAAUGCUGAGGACUCUGGAGAGACUGCCGUCGUAAGAUGUGAGGAAGGUUGGGAUGACGUCAAAUCAGCACGGCCCUUACGUCCGGGGCUACACACGUGUUACAAUGGGUGGUACAGAAGGCAGCUACACGGCGACGUGAUGCUAAUCCCAAAAACCACUCUCAGUUCGGAUUGGAGUCUGCAACUCGACUCCAUGAAGCUGGAUUCGCUAGUAAUCGCGCAUCAGCCAUGGCGCGGUGAAUACGUUCCCGGGCCUUGUACACACCGCCCGUCAAGCCAUGAAAGCCGCGGGUACCUGAAGUACGUAACCGUAAGGAUCGUCCUAGGGUAAAUGUGGUAAUUGGGGCUAAGUCGUAACAAGGUAACC